rnacentral:rRNA from 1 species
GAUGAACGCUGGCGGCGUGCCUAAUACAUGCAAGUCGAGCGAACGGACGAGAAGCUUGCUUCUCUGAUGUUAGCGGCGGACGGGUGAGUAACACGUGGAUAACCUACCUAUAAGACUGGGAUAACUUCGGGAAACCGGAGCUAAUACCGGAUGAUAUUUUGAACCGCAUGGUUCAAAAGUGAAAGACGGUCUUGCUGUCACUUAUAGAUGGAUCCGCGCUGCAUUAGCUAGUUGGUAAGGUAACGGCUUACCAAGGCAACGAUGCAUAGCCGACCUGAGAGGGUGAGAGGCAAAAGUGGCAAUGAGACAGGGGAGAGAAGAAGAAGGGAGGGAGAAGUAGGGAAGAGUCGGGAAUGGGCUAAAGACGGAAGGCGGAAUGAGGAGUGAGGGAUGAAGGUAUUAGGAUUGGAAAACGAUGGGACUAGGGAAGAACAGAGGUGGAAGUAACUGGGCACACAGUGACGGUAAAUAAUAAGAAAGAAAGGGCGAACUACGUG